GACGAACGCUGGCGGCGUGCUUAACACAUGCAAGUCGAACGGAAAGGCCCUGCUUUUGUGGGGUGCUCGAGUGGCGAACGGGUGAGUAACACGUGAGUAACCUGCCCUUGACUUUGGGAUAACUUCAGGAAACUGGGGCUAAUACCGGAUAGGAUCUCCUGCUGCAUGGUGGGGGUUGGAAAGUUUCGGCGGUUGGGGAUGGACUCGCGGCUUAUCAGCUUGUUGGUGGGGUAGUGGCUUACCAAGGCUUUGACGGGUAGCCGGCCUGAGAGGGUGACCGGCCACAUUGGGACUGAGAUACGGCCCAGACUCCUACGGGAGGCAGCAGUGGGGAAUAUUGCAGAAUGGGGGGAAGCCAGAUGAAGAAACGCCGCGUGCGGGAUGACGGCCUUCGGGUUGUAAACCGCUUUCGCCUGUGACGAAGCGUGAGUGACGGUAAUGGGUAAAGAAGCACCGGCUAACUACGUG
rnacentral:rRNA from 1 species